rnacentral:sRNA from 1 species
GCUUUGAGGAAAUAACGAAGAUUCAGU